ACAAAACAGAAGAGGUCAAGACGACAAUACAGAAGCGGGGAGGGGGAGCGAGUGUGGUGGCUACUCCUGCUUGUCAGCUCGACUACAGCUGGAAUGAACUACAUACAGUCCAGAAAUGGAGGGCACACCUGUGAUCCUGAGGCCGGAAGACCCAGGCUUCUGACCCGGAUCAUGACAUGGGAUAACACAGGCUUUUGAACCAGAUCUUGAGGUAUAGUGGCCAUAAGAAGCUUAAGCCCAGGGAAGGGAGCACACACUGGGCCUGUUUCUGCUGGAGGCCCACAUGAGGACCUUGGAAGAAGGAAGACUCCCUCUUCUUCGCCUGUUUGCACUUCCUUGCCAGCACAUCUGCUGGAACCUACCUCUUCAGCAUUCCAGCUUAUACAGAAGACCAGUGAAACAACUGGCCUGGUGGGACUGAGCGGCUACUAGACUCUUGGGACUUCCCAUUCGCAGCUGCCCACUGUUGGGUUAAUUGGAUUGUAGACUUGCUGCCUUUGACAGAGAUGACAUGCUUAUACCAUGCGGGUGGCACGAAGCUGUGAAGUGGUGAUGACGGGGAUGAGCUUGGACAUCCUACGAGAGUGGCAAAGGUGAAGCAAGCCCAGGUGCUGGCUGUGCAAGGCCUCAUUUAAGAUAAUGGCUGUGAAUAAGACAAUUACUUUGGCAACAGGAAGAAUUCUUCAUAGAAGCAACAUGUGAUAGUAAAUAGCAAGAAGCACAGAACAUGGAAGGCCUUAGAAAGAUGAAUUCAAGUUCUAGUGCCAACAAGUGCUAAAAUAUGUGACUACAACUGUAAUCCAGGGGCUUAAUCAAGAGCCUGUAAGCCUUCCUCAUUCGUGAAAAGGACUCAGUUGACAAGAACGACAGACAACCAAACACAAUGUACUAGAAGCUAGUCAAAUCUUUUCCUCAGGGAGCUUUUCACUGUAAACUUGUUCUGGGUUGAAGCAAGAUGGAUUGCCUACUAGUGUGAGGUGGAAGAGCGUAUUAAAAUUUACAUGGAGUCAAAGAUGUGGAUUUUCAAUUCCAAGUAGGAAAAAAAAAGUCAAAGAGAUUAAGCCACUGGAUAAUAAAAAAAAUCAAUAAGAAAUUAUAUUUAAGAUAUAUAAGUUCUAGUAUUAAGAGCCAACUGUCUUUUUUUUUUAACAAUUUACAACCAAAAAUAAAAAAAAUUAAAAUAAAAAAUAAAAAAUUUUUGGGCCAGGUCAGGCCACUCUGUUCCAGUUUCAAAGAAACCUUGGAGCGAGAGAGCGAGAGACUGAACCAAAACUCACUGUGGCCCACGGGCUGGCCUUGAACUUGCAGACCCUCUGGUUCAACCAAUGCCAGGAGAGCCUUUUCAAAAGACUGCUUAUAUAAAACCAAGGAAGAGUUUUGGAUGUGAGCCUGUUAACUAUUUUCUUGGUACUCUUAAAUUAAAAAUUAAUCAGAAAUGUUCCUAAGGAUUUUAGCUUAAACAUUAGAUGAAGACAUCAUCCUCGCACAGUUACCCAACUCAAUUCCACCUAAGAAGUUACAAGAGUGCACUCAAAGUAAUAAAACAAGUCUAUACAGGAGCCCAGUGAGAUGUGCACUCCUACUUAAGGGUACUGUUUGGUGAAAAGUACUAUCUACUUCUCUAGAUACAACAUGGUUACCUGUAACCCCUUCUAGGGAGCUGAAGAUAGGGUAGGGAGUGGAGGGUCUUUCUUGGAACUGACUUUUCUAAUCUCACUACUCCUUUCUCAGCUGGCUGUUGAGUUCGCCUAAAGACAUCCCUGGAUCAAGCCUUUCUCUCAGGCCCCCAAACUCAGAAAUCCUCCUUCACACAACCUAUUCGGUUGCUAUUAACAUACGGUUUCUAAGCCACAAAGAGAGUCUGCGUGGAGGAGAAAGAAAGAACGAGAGGGCUUGUGUGUGUGUGUGUGUGUGUGUGUGUAUGUCCCGUGACUGAUCAAUUCGGGU